CGCGUAGGCGGUUUGUCGAGUUAGGCGUGAAAGGCCUGGGCUUAACCCAGGAAUGGCGCUUGAUACUGACGAUCUGGAGAUCGGGAGAGGAGAGUGGAAUUCCCAGUGUAGAGGUGAAAUUCGUAGAUAUUGGGAAGAACACCGGUGGCGAAGGCGGCUCUCUGGCCCGCAUCUGACGCUAAGGCGCGAAAGCGUGGGGAGCAAACAGGAUUAGAUACCCUGGUAGUCCACGCUGUAAACGAUGAGUGCUAGACGUUGGGGGGCUUGGCUCCUCGGUGUCGCAGCUAACGCGGUAAGCACUCCGCCUGGGAGUACGGUCGCAAGAUUAA
rnacentral:rRNA from 1 species